AGACGAACCGUCCAAACGUUAUUCGGUAUCACUGGGCUUAAAGCGUGCGUAGGCGGCCAGGUAGGUGAGAUGUGAAAGCCCACGGCUCAACCGUGGAAUUGCGUUUCAAACCCUCUGGCUUGAGGGAGACAGGGGUGUUGGGAACUUAUGGUGGAGCGGUGAAAUGCGUUGAUAUCAUAGGGAACACCGGUGGCGAAGGCGCAACACUGGGUCUUUUCUGACGCUGAGGCACGAAAGCUAGGGUAGCGAACGGGAUUAGAUACCCCGGUAGUCCUAGCCGUAAACGAUGAGCACUGGGUUGAGGGGACUUCCACAUCCUCUCGGCCGUAGCGAAAACGUUAAGUGCUCCGCCUGGGGAGUAUGGUCGCAAGGCUGAA
rnacentral:rRNA from 1 species